rnacentral:rRNA from 1 species
UGAGGAAUAUUGCGCAAUGGAGGAAACUCUGACGCAGCAACGCCGCGUGAGUGAAGAAGGCUUUCGGGUUGUAAAGCUCUGUCAGGUGGGAAGAAACCUUUAUAGCUGAAUAGGCUAUAAAACUGCCGGUACCACCAAAGGCAUCACCGGCUAACUCCGUGCCAGCAGCCGCGGUAAGACGGAGGGUGCAAGCGUUGUUCGGACUCAUUGGGCGUAAAGCGCGUGUAGGCGGCUUGACAAGUCGAAUGUGAAAGCGCGGGGCUCAACGUCGGAAGUG